CGUUGAGGAUGUAAGAAAGGCGAUCAUUGUCGAAUUCUGAUCGAAACGUGCGUGAAAGGACAUUGUUUGGUCGGUAGUGUGUUCGAUGCACGAAGAAGAGGACGAGAUUUAUUAUUUACAAGGAAGCGGAAUGUUUGCCGAAUGUUUCGAGCUGGCUGGAAUCGACGAUUGAUGCUUCGUCCAUUUACGCCGGCUUAAGGAGAGGACCAUCGCGGUGUGAGAGCGUCGUCGCUUUCGAGGCAACCACGUCCGGUAUUUAGCCCUUGUUUCCAAUGGAUUUCAUGAAACGUAAAAAUUCUUCGACUACAAAGAGAAAGCGACAAACGACCGGUAAAGCUUCAUCGCCGAAUAAACGGAAACGGAAAUGGACGUGGUUACAGCGAGUAGGUGCACACGCGGGUAUCACGAGCGUUCGUUACAUCGUCAGGGGGCUCGUGACGACUUUUCCGUCGAGGCGUUAACGCACAGCGAACGUGUUACCUUCCGAGGUACGUACUUGUUGCGAAGUUAUAUCUGAGAACGAAGAAGAAGAAGAAGAAGAAGAAGGAGAAGAAGAAGAAGAAGAUCCGUUUGUAACUGGACAGUUGGGCGCAGAGAAAGAAUUUUGUUUAUGGUGCUAUUGCGGGACAUGCCGUAGAUUUUACGAGGUGGCUAUAUUGAGAUGUAGAUAAGAGGAAGAACGAUUCAUCUUGAACGGCCAGACUAUCGAUAAACCGGCGCGAUAAUUCUAGAUGAUCGUGUCAGCUCGAUAGGCGGAUCUUCUAAAUUUGCUGCGUAACGUUCUUGCCCUUUCCAUUCAAUUCCGUAUACGUCCAUCGAGUUCGAUCUUUGUCUUUUCGCGAUCGUUUAGAUUUAUCUGGAGUUACUCUCUUGGUCCGCGAUUUGAUAAAUAUUUUAUUAUAUAUAUGUAUUGGAUGAUAAAUAUUUUGUAACUUCAGUGUUCUUGUCAUUCGAUAGAAUUGGAAAGAAACGUUAUAUAUUUCAAAGCAACAAGAUUGAAAGAUAAAAUAGAAAUAGACGAGAACAAGAAUAUAAAUUCCUAAAAUAGAGUGCGAGGGAGAAUCCUUCAUAUGGAACAGAAUAGAAAUAAUAAUAUUUGACCCAAUAAAAUAGCUGGAAACGGAAGACCAUAUUUUGAAAGGAAAUAGGAUUAUUGUUAUUUAGUAUAACUAAAGGACUAUGGCACAAAAGAACUCUCUUAUUAUGUCUUAUUCACAGAAGUAAGCAUCGUUAUCAUCCAUAGCAUCCUACAAUUCCUUUCCUCCGGACUUCUCAUUACCUUCAUACGAUACCAACGAUUCUAAAUCCAACAUAAUUUGAACAUCAACCACUGUAAUUGUUUAUGCAUUCAUGGGAAAUUUAUAAGUGCAGAAACGCGCAGAAUGCACAAACACCGAAAAACACUUAAAUAUCCGAAUUUCUCAUAAUAUCUAACGGAUGAAACAAUUCGCUGCUUGAAUUCUAUUUAUUUAAUUAUAUUCGCGAAAGUAUGAAGUUGCAUAAAGAUAUUAGGUCAAACGAUUAUCUGAAUAUUCUGACUAAACUACGGCGUUUAUGAACUUCUAGCAAACUGAGAUAGACGCAAGGAUGCACAGAAUCCACCGAACAUACAAAACUAUACGAAACAUCCAAGGUACAGUACUCGUUCGAAAAUUUGACCCACGAAAAACCUUUUUGCUUAUCUAAUUUCAUUUCUUUUAUUGUACCGA